AGAGUUUGAUCAUGGCUCAGAAUCAACGCUGGCGGCGCGCUUAACACAUGCAAGUCGAACGAGAAAGGGGAGCAAUCCCUGAGUAAAGUGGCGUACGGGUGAGUAACACGUGGAUGAUCUACCUCUUAGUGGGGGAUAACCUUGGGAAACCGGGGCUAAUACCGCAUAAGCCUGAAAAGGGAAAGGAGCAAUUCGCUGAGAGAGGAGUCCGCGGCUGAUUAGCUAGUUGGUGAGGUAACGGCCCACCAAGGCAAUGAUCGGUAGCCGGCCUGAGAGGGCACACGGCCACACUGGCACUGAAACACGGGCCAGACUCCUACGGGAGGCAGCAGUGGGGAAUCUUGCACAAUGGGGGCAACCCUGAUGCAGCGACGCCGCGUGAGCGAUGAAGCCCUUCGGGGUGUAAAGCUCUUUCGACGGGAACGAUAAUGACGGUACCCGGAGAAGAAGCUGCGGCUAACUACGUGCCAGCAGCCGCGGUAAUACGUAGGCAGCAAGCGUUGUUCGGAGUUACUGGGCGUAAAGAGUGCGUAGGCGGUCCUGUAAGUUUGGUGUGAAAUCUCCCGGCUCAACUGGGAGGGUGCGCCGAAGACUGCAGGGCUUGAGUAUGGGAGAGGUAAGCGGAAUUCCUGGUGUAGCGGUGAAAUGCGUAGAUAUCAGGAGGAACACCUGUGGUGUAGACAGCUUACUGGACCAUAACUGACGCUGAGGCACGAAAGCGUGGGUAGCAAACAGGAUUAGAUACCCUGGUAGUCCACGCCCUAAACGAUGCAUACUUGGUGUGAGCCAUUCAUUUGGUUCGUGCCGGAGCUAACGCGUUAAGUAUGCCGCCUGGGGAGUACGGUCGCAAGGCUGAAACUUAAAGGAAUUGACGG
rnacentral:rRNA from 1 species